GAAUGUUUACCUUAUUUGAGUGGAAACAUUCGCAGUUGUCUUCUGGAGUACACUCAUAUAAAGAAGAAUUAGAAGGUAAUUUCAUAUUGUGUUCCUAAAUCUUGAAGGAGGAAACCAUAUUAUUCUAUUUUUUAUUGAAAAGUUAUUCUAGUUAUUGAAGUUAUUCUGUCCACCUUGUUUUAUUUAUGUACAUGCGAUUACCCGUUCAAGAUAUAUAUAGAUAUGAAGGUCUCUAUAUCGUUCUGUAAUAAUAGUCUUGGAUUCUUAUCUUCAUGCCAUAGCACUUCCAUUAACUUAUUAAACCAUUUAGUAGGUAUCUUCUAUGAAUAACAUCGAUAAUCGUCAUUUAUCAAGCCAAAACUUGUAAAGUUCCACAUGUUCAAACUGUUAGUGUAAGUUAUUUGAUGAAUUCAUCGUUCGUAUCAAUUCUCUUGAGAUAGAAGAUGUUUUUUCAACUAUAUUAUAUUCAAAUGGUUGGCGUAAGUAAUUUGAUUGCACGUAUACUAACUUUGCUUUACAUAAAAUUCCAUUUUCUAACAUUCAUUUUAAUUUCACUUCUAGCUAGUUCAGUUCAAAAGUUACCUAAUUUUCUUUUAUAUGCCAUAUGUUUAUUGAAAGUUACAUCUUCCAUGGUAAGUUAUUUGAAUUCUAGUAUCUAUAAAAGUUAAAAUAUACUUCAAUGUAUUUACUUUGUUAAUUAAUAUAUCAAAAUUACUAAACGGAGAAAGAAAGUAUAUUCUUACACAUAAUUAAAAAUGCCAAGCAGUCUUCUAAUGCUAAAAAUAUUGAAGUUUUAGCUGGAACAAGUCUACUAAUUAGUAUGCCUUACUGUAAUGUGCCGUUAAAUAAAAUGAAUCUCGAAAAUCGGUGGCAUUUACUGCAUUGAAGAGUGAAAUAUAUAUGUAAAUUUUUAUUCGAAAGUUGCUGACGUAGUUGAGUUACUUGCUCCUUCUAUGAACCUUUUAGAUUAAAGGUUGUUCAAAGUAUAGAAUAGAUGGGCUUUAAACCCAUAAAUUGGCUUAUUAGCUAUAAUCUAAACUUGUAUUUUAAUUUUCUACUACUACCCCUUUCAUGUGGUCUAUCAAUUCCUAGAGAAAAAAAAGUAAAGCUUGUCUCAAUGAAACUAUGCAGAUUUAAGUUUCACACUGUGAUAUGUUCACAAGGAAUAAACCACUAGGUGUUGCCUCUUGUUUGAUCUUUCAACGAAGUGGUUUUAAGUAGAUCUAAAAUAUUUCGUGUUUAAUUUAACUGUUUGGAGCAUUCUAAGAGUGAAGUUAAUUAUUCUAUUAUAUUAAAAUAUUUAGUGGCUUCUUUCUAUAUUCCAGAAAACCUUUGCCAUGAAUUUGCUGAAGGAGUCGCUUUGGGGUAGGCACGAGUAUGGAUCCAACAUUGACAUACUUUGGUAGGCUAGUCAGAUAAGAUUUUGGCUCAUUGGAAUAUUGCCUGAAGUAUAUAUUGAAAUGGACGUAAGAUAUAAUAUAUCUGAUGAACGGAAUGAGGGGCAACCAAAUUUGUUAAUUUGUUCUCGAGACAUAAUGAACUAGAUUUAACAAAUUCAUUCUUCUAUGUUUCAGGUAUACCAUUGUAGGCUAUGGAGCUUGUGGGUUUACGAAACAAGGGGUGUGCAAAGCAAAGUGGGGUGACCAAGCUGGUGAAGAAAGACUAGAUUAAAUUACUAAUUCAAGUUGUGUACUAUUUAUUUUACGAUGUUGAAACUCUAAAGUUAAGAAUUUUGUCAUUUUUGUUUGUGGAUGUAAUGAAAUAUUAUUCUUUUUGGAAUGAGUAAAAGCAGUGUG
rnacentral:lncRNA from 1 species